AUUUCUAGAAUAUUGGUCUAAAUCACAAAGUAUUCUUAAUAUAUGUGACAGUUCAAAUAUUUCAUCAAAUUUUCCCACAGUAAGAGAUAGUAAAACCUCUUCAUCAAAAAGUUGGAGAUCGUUCAUUUAUAUCCAAUUUACCUUUUCUUAAUGGUGAAAUCAAAUUUACAACCCAGCAAAUGAGUAAGAAUAUCUUUUAAAAAUUAAAUCUCAAUUAUUUAACCAAAAAGUCUAAUGUUCUCGUUUAUUUACUACUCCUCAUUACAAGGUUUUUACUGACUAAAGAUGAUGACAUACCUAAUGUGACUGUUUGCAUUGAUGACUCCUUAAAUAGUGUAACAUCAACCCUCAGAAUAAAAUGUCAACACAAAAAUCCAAGUGAGUGAUCCAGCUCAUUAAACUCACAGGUAAACUGAGUUUUUCUCAAAUCAAUAAGGAGCUUUUUAUUGAGAACAACUUCAUUAAGACAUUUGCAGGGCAAAUAUGCCACAUAAAUUUUAUUCUGAAUUACAAUAAAGUGCUGAAUGAUAAUUACCUGAAUCUUUUUUAGUACUUUUCACUUAUCUUAAGUUAAAAGAGCCCUUUCUGUGGCAUUAGCAAAUCUGUGAGUGAGUGAGUGAGUGAGAGAGAGAGAGAGAGAGAGAGAGAGAGAGAAAGAAAGAGUGAGAGAAGGAAAGGAAGAAAGAGAAAAGAAAAAGCUAACUUCCAGUAAGGGAACAGGAAGCACUGCAACCUUUCAUGUUUAACUGGGGUGACAAAUAAUUGAGACCAAAGUAAUCAAAGUAAUUCAUGCAAGUUAUCUUUAAAGGUAUACGUAAGCUUGAAGAAAGAAAGAACACUGUUACUGACCUUUGAUAUUAUGGCAGUAAAUUGCAUACUAAAAUACUUUAAUUAUCCUAGAUGCCUAGAUCUGGCUUGGCAAGCAUCAUGCCACUGACAUGCUUUAGCUCUUUUUGUAACUAAAAGUGAUUUGCAGUUCAAUUACUGAGUAUUUCAAUGUGACUCAUUAAGCUGUGUGAUGAACUUUGAAGUUAAAUUUAAGCAAAUUCUCUACACCUAAUCACACCAUCAGCACAAGCAGGACAAUGCUGGAGCAGCAUGAAAGGUGGGUCACUUUAAAAAGAUUCUUCCUUUUACUGCAUGAUAUAUUAAGAUGACAGACCUAAAUUUCAACUGGGUUAAUGAGUUAGAAUAGAUCUGUUUCCCAAAUGUAGCACACAAUAAUUUCAAUGGAUUAGAGAAAGAAACCUCAGAUGUGAAGAAAGUGAAGAAAAAAACAAACAAAAAAGCUUGAGCUAAAAUAGCUAACCUGCAGCUCUAAAAAUUGUCAUGCUACAGAGUACUUUCAAAAAAUUAAGUUUGUAACAAACAUAAGAAAACAGUGUUUUGAGUUGAAGUUGACCAACUGCUGCAUAGAAAAUAUGCUAACAUACAACAGUCAAGUUUAAGCCUGUGCAUAGAGAAGAUAAAGCACUUAUGGUAACUGCAAAUGGUAACGAGUCCUUAAAGUUUGUACAACCUAGUAUGGGUCCAUAAGGAAAAAACUGUAGUAGAAAUGGUUAGGACAAACAAUAAAGUAGAAACAGGGGGGAAACUUGAGAAGAGAAGAAAGAAGCAAGAAAAAAAGACUUUCAAUUGUAUAAAAUUCACAAACCAGUAAAGUAUAAAGACACCAUGGAAAAAUGGUUAACUCUGCCCCAAACACCCAACAGCAAACAAAACCAGAAUGAAUAAGCCUUUGGCAGACAAUUUUAGAAAUUUGAAUGUUACAUUUCUCAAUAAUUCACAAACAAUAUAUUAUAUGGUAUAUUUAUAUUAAAUAUUGGGAAACCAAUGUUGUAAAUUUGAUGCUUAUAAUGCUUUAGCCAAUGAGAGCACAAUGAUAUCAAUCAAGCUAAAUGAAUGCUGGUGUUAUCACAACAGUGCUCAUUUAUGAAACAACUGUUACCAAUUCGUGCUUUAACAGUGCUAAAAUACAGUCAAGUUAUCAUCUAUGAAGGGAAACAAAAGUCUCUAGCUUUUCUGGGAUAUGCCCUUUAUAAUAUAUUCUAUGAUUCACUAUGACACGAGCAGCAAGACACUGCAAUGUGGUAUGAUUUAUAGGCUGGAUUAAAUUUUUAGCUAUUUCCUUCUCAUCCAGCAAGUCACUAGCAGUUUGUUUGUGCAAGUUUGUGGCAUCAAAAUGUGCACCUGAUUUAAUAAGGAGAUUCAUGAUGUCUGGAUGGUUGUUAAGAGCAGCGAUAUGCAGGGGACUGUUGUCAUCCGAGUCUCUGACGUUCACAUCAGCACCACAUUCUAUCAGUAUUGCAGUAACUUGUAGAGAUGGAAAUUUACAAACAGGGUACCGCCCUACACAUGUAGUAUUCUUGUCCACAGCCAGAUGAAGAGGGCUGAAGUUAUUCUUUCCCCUUGGAUGCAGCUUAAGAAACCUGUAUAUAGUCUGCUUUUUGAAAUGGUCCUGUUCUAGAGUACAAGGAACUUUCUCUAACAAGCAAAUUAAGUGCAAAAUAAUAGAAAGGGCCUUAUUUAACUGCAAUGGGUCAGCUGGACACUGAGUUUGUUUGAUAGCUCGCUCUAUUUCAAGGACGCUUUUGCAAAGUAUGCCCAUAAGAUCAUCAAAUGUAACAGUAGUACCCAGCAGGCCUUUAGCCCUAUCCUGUAGCAUAAAGGAGAAUAGUUCUGCAAAAGAUAGUAAGCUGCUGGCGGUCAUUGGGCUUAAAGGAUCCAAAUUGCUCUGCUGCAUAUCCAAAGCAUACUUCCAUAGGUUGAUGCAUCGUUUGAAAUUUCCAGAGUCUGCAUAGACAGCGCCUCUAUAUCUAAUAUAGUAAGAGGUAUCAGGAUGAGAAGGACCAAGAAUACGUUCUCUGAUUAAUAGUGCCUGCAUUCUCAUCUCAUCAGGAUCAGCAAUAAGACCUUCUAGCUCUUCUGCACUGUUCACCUCCUUGGCAUAAUCAUAAGCCAUUAUUAGUGUCUGUGGCACUGGUUUACUAAUAAUAUUAGUCCUAUCACUGUACCUCAUGUUCAUUGCCUUUUUCCAGUAUUUCAAAGCCCCAAGCAGAUCUCUUUUUUUGUCUACAAAUGUAGCUCCCAGAAGCUCUAGAGCAUUAAUACGUUCUGUCUUGCUGGUCUGUGCAUGGUGUGUCAGAAAAUCCACAAUAUUUGUGUGACCAGUCACACUUGCUGAGAGAAGGGGAGUCAUUCCAUAACCAUCCUUUUCCAUCUUGGCACAAUACAUAAGAAGCAUCUUCAUGAUGUCCAAACUUCCAGAUUCUGCACAAUCAU
rnacentral:lncRNA from 1 species